CGGGGAGUGGCGCAGUCUGGUAGCGCACCUGCCUUGGGAGCAGGGGGUCGGAGGUUCGAAUCCUCUCUCCCCGACCA
rnacentral:tRNA from 2 species